UACAUGGGGUGCAAACGUUGCUCGGAAUUAUUGGGCGUAAAGCGCACGUAAGUGGUCCCUUAAGUCGGAUGUGAAAGCCCUCGGCUCAACUGAGGAAGUGCAUCCGAAACUGAGGGGCUGGAGUAUGGUAGAGGGUCGCGGAAUUCCCGGUGUAGAGGUGAAAUUCGUAGAUAUCGGGAGGAACACCGGUGGCGAAGGCGGCGACCUGGGCCAAUACUGACACUGAGGUGCGAAAGCGUGGGGAGCAAACAGG
rnacentral:rRNA from 1 species